CUUACAAGGAUUCCCCUAGUAACGGCGAGCGAACCGGGAACAGCCCAGCUUGAGAAUCGGGCGGGUAAAACCGUUCGAAUUGUAGUCUGGAGAGGCGUCCUCAGCGACGGACCGAGCCCAAGUUCCCUGGAAAGGGACGCCUGGGAGGGUGAGAGCCCCGUCCGGCCCGGACCCUGUCGCACCACGAGGCGCCGUCAACGAGUCGGGUUGUUUGGGAAUGCAGCCCUAAUCGGGCGGUAAACUCCGUCCAAGGCUAAAUACAGGCGAGAGACCGAUAGCGAACAAGUACCGCGAGGGAAAGAUGAAAAGGACUUUGAAAAGAGAGUCAAAGAGUGCUUGAAAUUGCCGGGAGGGAAGCGGAUGGGGGCCGGCGAUGCGCCCCGGCCGUAUGCGGAACGGCUUCGGCUGGUCCGCCGCUCGGCUCGGGGCGUGGACUGUUGUCGGCUGCGCCGGCGGCCUAAGCCCGGGGGCCCUAGGUGCCUCCGGAUGCCGUCGUCGGCACGGCCGGUUACCGCGCGCCGCAAGGCGUGCCCCUCGGGGCACUGCGCUGCAACGGCCUGCGGGCUCCCCAUCCGACCCGUCUUGAAACACGGACCAAGGAGUCUGACAUGCGUGCGAGUCGACGGGUUCUGAAACCUGGGAUGCGCAAGGAAGCUGACGAGCGGGAGGCCCUCACGGGCCGCACCGCUGGCCGACCCUGAUCUUCUGUGAAGGGUUCGAGUUGGAGCACGCCUGUCGGGACCCGAAAGAUGGUGAACUAUGCCUGAGCGGGGCGAAGCCAGAGGAAACUCUGGUGGAGGCUCGAAGCGAUACUGACGUGCAAAUCGUUCGUCUGACUUGGGUAUAGGGGCGAAAGACUAAUCGAACCAUCUAGUAGCUGGUUCCCUCCGAAGUUUCCCUCAGGAUAGCUGGAGCCCAUUACGAGUUCUAUCAGGUAAAGCCAAUGAUUAGAGGCAUCGGGGGCGCAACGCCCUCGACCUAUUCUCAAACUUUAAAUAGGUAGGAUGGCGCGGCUGCUCCGGUGAGCCGCGCCACGGAAUCGGGAGCUCCAAGUGGGCCAUUUUUGGUAAGCAGAACUGGCGAUGCGGGAUGAACCGGAAGCCGGGUUACGGUGCCCAACUGCGCGCUAACCUAG
rnacentral:rRNA from 1 species